GAUCACUCCUAGUAAGAGAAGAUCGCAUCCUGUGUAUUUUUAUUACUAGAUGACUAGAAAAAAUUCUUUUGGCCAAAAGUAGGAAGGAGAUUAGAAAGAGUUUCUAAUGCUUCUUCAUCAGAGUUAUCAUUGGUUAAUUGAGAAUCAAUAUGAAUAUAUGUUUGAGUUUGACAUGAUUCCAUACUCAUGAACAUAUUCAAGGUGCAGGG
rnacentral:lncRNA from 1 species